rnacentral:rRNA from 1 species
UUCUGGUUGAACCCGCCGGACCUGACUGCUAUCGGAUUGAUACUAAGCCAUGCGAGUCGUUGUAGCAAUACAAAGCAUACGGCUCAGUAACGCGUAGUCAACCUAACCUAUGGACGGGAAUAACCUCGGGAAACUGAGAAUAAUGCCCGAUAGAACAUUAUGCCUGGAAUGGUUUAUGUUCCAAAUGAUUUAUCGCCAUAGGAUGGGACUGCGGCCUAUCAGUUUGUUGGUGAGGUAAUGGCCCACCAAGACUAUUACAGGUACGGGCUCUGAGAGGAGUAGCCCGGAGAUGGGUACUGAGACACGGACCCAGGCCCUAUGGGGCGCAGCAGGCGAGAAAACUUUGCAAUGUGCGAAAGCACGACAAGGUUAAUCCGAGUGAUUUCUGCUAAAGAGAUCUUUUGUUAGUCCUAGAAACACUAACGAAUAAGGGGUGGGCAAGUUCUGGUGUCAGCCGCCGCGGUAAAACCAGCACCUCAAGUGGUCAGGAUGAUUAUUGGGCCUAAAGCAUCCGUAGCCGGCUCUGUAAGUUUUCGGUUAAAUCUGUACGCUCAACGUACAGGCUGCCGGAAAUACUGCAGAACUAGGGAGUGGGAGAGGUAGACGGUACUCGGUAGGAAGUGGUAAAAUGCUUUGAUCUAUCGAUGACCACCUGUGGCGAAGGCGGUCUACCAGAACACGUCCGACGGUGAGGGAUGAAAGCUGGGGGAGCAAACCGGAUUAGAUACCCGGGUAGUCCCAGCUGUAAACUAUGCAAACUCAGUGAUGCAUUGGCUUGUGGCCAAUGCAGUGCUGCAGGGAAGCCGUUAAGUUUGCCGCCUGGGAAGUACGUACGCAAGUAUGAAACUUAAAGGAAUUGGCGGGGGAGCACCACAAGGGGUGAAGCCUGCGGUUCAAUUGGAUUCAACGCCGGGG